GCCACCGUUGCCUGCAAUGGAAUUGCUCUAGCAGAACGAUAUGGUAGAGGACAAGCCAGAAAAUCUCUCCUGGGUCAACAAUUCGUCAUAAUGAAAAUUGCAGAGGCCCAAAUGAGCAGUUUUGCCAGCUCUUCAUUGUGAAGUGAGAGGAAGAUAUCUUGGAAACGACAGCGAAAAGACACCAGGACCAUGACUACUUUUACUUCCAUUCCACAAUGCCCAUCCUCUCCAAACCUCAAAGUUUACGGGUUGAUGAGGUCAUUUUGCCGAGGUCAUUUUGCCAAGGUCACAGACCUCAGGGCUGUUCUGGGA
rnacentral:lncRNA from 1 species